rnacentral:rRNA from 1 species
AACGCUGGCGGCGUGCCUAAUACAUGCAAGUCGAGCGGACAGAUGGGAGCUUGCUCCCUGAUGUUAGCGGCGGACGGGUGAGUAACACGUGGGUAACCUGCCUGUAAGACUGGGAUAACUCCGGGAAACCGGGGCUAAUACCGGAUGGUUGUUUGAACCGCAGGGUUCAAACAUAAAAGGUGGCUUCGGCUACCACUUACAGAUGGACCCGCGGCGCAUUAGCUAGUUGGUGAGGUAACGGCUCACCAAGGCAACGAUGCGUAGCCGACCUGAGAGGGUGAUCGGCCACACUGGGACUGAGACACGGCCCAGACUCCUACGGGAGGCAGCAGUAGGGAAUCUUCCGCAAUGGACGAAAGUCUGACGGAGCAACGCCGCGUGAGUGAUGAAGGUUUUCGGAUCGUAAAGCUCUGUUGUUAGGGAAGAACAAGUACCGUUCGAAUAGGGCGGUACCUUGACGGUACCUAACCAGAAAGCCACGGCUAACUACGUGCCAGCAGCCGCGGUAAUACGUAGGUGGCAAGCGUUGUCCGGAAUUAUUGGGCGUAAAGGGCUCGCAGGCGGUUUCUUAAGUCUGAUGUGAAAGCCCCCGGCUCAACCGGGGAGGGUCAUUGGAAACUGGGGAACUUGAGUGCAGAAGAGGAGAGUGGAAUUCCACGUGUAGCGGUGAAAUGCGUAGAGAUGUGGAGGAACACCAGUGGCGAAGGCGACUCUCUGGUCUGUAACUGACGCUGAGGAGCGAAAGCGUGGGGAGCGAACAGGAUUAGAUACCCUGGUAGUCCACGCCGUAAACGAUGAGUGCUAAGUGUUAGGGGGUUUCCGCCCCUUAGUGCUGCAGCUAACGCAUUAAGCACUCCGCCUGGGGAGUACGGUCGCAAGACUGAAACUCAAAGGAAUUGACGGGGGCCCGCACAAGCGG